CCGGGCGCCUUCUGGGGCUCGGCGAAGACGGGUUCCGGAGGUGUCCGGUGCCUACUCGUACCCAUCUUGCUCAACGGAGGAUUUGGCUAUGAGAA
rfam:Nitrobacter hamburgensis X14 plasmid 1, complete sequence.